rnacentral:lncRNA from 1 species
AUUUUUUGGUUGAGUGGACUUUACAUGAUCAAAUGCAGUAAAACACUAUUGCAUAUGGUGUUAUGAAUAUUUAAGAUAGAUGCUUACAAGAACUUUCCAUCUUGUCCCAUAUCUCGAUAAGUGGUUAGCAGGUACGAAAUUUCUAUUAUUGUGUAAUCUUAAAUUUGCUAAAUAUGUAUUUUUAUUUAUAGUUUAAUUGCACAAUGCCGCAUUGUCGAUGGAUGUGUAAUUUGAAUAUGUAGGUUUGCUUUUUUAUGAAGUAUAAAAAAUAAGACGAAAAAAAAUUAUCGAUCGGUCCUGGGUUGACCUUGGAACCGGACCGAACCCAUUGGGUCGGUCCGGUCCUCGGUCCUAGGCUCAAUAGGGUCGGUCCUCGGUCCUAAAAAUUGAGGACCGACACUGUACGGGUUGGUCCUAGGGUUAGGGGGUGGCCCGGACCAACCCGGACCAUGCUCACCCCUA